ensembl:lncRNA LINC01239 long intergenic non-protein coding RNA 1239
AUUCACUGAUGAGAAGAUCUCCAUAGCUACCUGUGUGAGUCACAUGUCAGUGCAAUUUCUGGAGGUCAAUUGUAGCCCUGAAGUCUCAGAACAAUGGCAAAAAGAAAUACGGAGGGCAUGAUACAUUUGUUUUAGUGGAACUUCCACAUCUUCAGGUGAGACCUCUAGACAGUAACCACCAAAUGAUUGUGAGAGGUGAAGCCAGCUGGACUUCCUGGGUCAAGUGGGGAGUUGGAGAACUUUUCUGUCUGGCUAGAGGAUUAUAAAUGCACCAAUCAGCACUCUGGAAAAAUGCACCAAUCAGCACUCUGUGUCUAGCUAAAGGAUUGUAAAGGCACCAUUCAGUACUCUGUAAAAAUGCACAAAUCAGCACUCUGUGUCUAGCUAAAGGAUUGUAAAUGCACCAAUCACCACUCUGUAAAAACGCACCAAUCAGCGCUCUGUGUCUAGCUAAAAUAAACGCACCAAUCAGCACUCUGUAAAAUGGACCAAUCAGCGCUCUGUAAAAUGGACCAAUCAGCAGGACGUGGACGGGGCCAAAUAAGGGAAUAAAAGCUGGCCACGCAAGCUAGCAGCGGCAAUCCUCUCGGGUAGCCUUCCGCUCUGUGGAAGCUUUGUUCUUUUGCUGUUCAUGAUAAAUCUUGCUGCUGCUCACUCUUUGGGUCCGCACUACCUUUAUGAGCUGUAACACUCAACACGAGGGUCUGCGGCUUCAUUCCUGAAGUCUGCGAGACCAGGAACCCACCGGGAGGAACAAACAACUCUGGACACACCACCUUUAAGAGCUGUGACAAUCACUUGCGAAAGUCUGCAACUUCACUCCUGAAGUCAGCAAGACCGUGAACCCACCAGAAGGAAGAAACUCGGGACACAUCUGAAUAUCUGAAGGAGAAAACACUCCAGACACACCGUCCUUAAGAACUGUAACACUCACUGCGAGGGUCAGCGGCUUCAUUCUUGAAGUCAGUGAGACCAAGAACCCACCGGAAGGAACCAAUUCUGGAGACAAUUGGAGCUUUGAAAACUAUUUAACUAAAUUAUAGUGGGUUCAGUAUAAAAGAUUGUUUUCUUCCCUCCCUUCUCUUUUUUUUUUUCCUUAUUCCUAUCCUGCUAUAGUAUUUUCUGCCAUGUUAUGCACGUACAUUUAAAAAAUUACUCACCAAUCCAAUAAAAAACAUACUGCUGCC